rnacentral:rRNA from 1 species
AACGCUGGCGGCGCGCUUAACACAUGCAAGUCGAGCGAGAACCUGGCCUUCGGGCCAGGGGACAGCGGCGAACGGGUGAGUAACACGUGGGUAAUCUGCCCUCGGCAUCGGGAUAGCCCGGGGAAACCCGGAUUAAUACCGAAUAGCCUCCGGAGCCUUCGGGCGCCGGAGAAAAGGUAGCUUCGGCCUCUGGCCGAGGAUGAGCCCGCGGCGGAUUAGCUUGUUGGCGGGGUAACGGCCCACCAAGGCGACGAUCCGUAGCUGGUCUGAGAGGACGGUCAGCCACACUGGGACUGAGACACGGCCCAGACUCCUACGGGAGGCAGCAGUGGGGAAUCUUGCGCAAAUGCGGGAAACCGUGACGCAGCGACGCCGCGUGGGGGAAGAAGGCCUUCGGGUUGUAAACCUCUUUCAGGAGGGACGAAGCUACUCGGGUGAAUAGCCCAGAGGGUGACGGUACCUCCAGAAGAAGCCCCGGCUAACUACGUGCCAGCAGCCGCAGUAACAC